CAUACAGGCCAAGACACCAACCAGGUAAAGAUACUGACCAGGUAAUGCUGAUGAUGCCGUUUUAUUGUCAACCACAUGCAUAAGAUUUAGAAGACUUCUGAGAUCCUUCUCCACUUACUGUAAUGAAGAACAACUAAUAAUUAACAAUGCUAAAACUAAGAUUAUGGUGGACUACUGAAUCAAUGGACUGUAACGGUUACUGUGGAGCACUGCAGCCUUUUAAUGAAUAUCCAUGGACGGCCAGAC